rnacentral:rRNA from 1 species
CGGCGGACGGGUGAGUAACGCGUGGGUAACCUACCUCAUACAGGGGGAUAACAGUUGGAAACGACUGCUAAUACCGCAUAAGCGCACAGUACCGCAUGGUACCGUGUGAAAAACUCCGGUGGUAUGAGAUGGACCCGCGUCUGAUUAGCUAGUUGGUGGGGUAACGGCCUACCAAGGCGACGAUCAGUAGCCGACCUGAGAGGGUGAACGGCCACAUUGGGACUGAGACACGGCCCAA